UUGCUGGUCUGAAUUUGUCUGAGUAGUUUUUAAUCGAGAGCUGGCUUUUUAAAUAUUUUAUUAAUAAAAAUGUCAGGAACAAGUAAUGGCAUCACUAAAAUGUGAAUUCUAUCCCCCAAAAAUCCCAAUCCCAAAACAAACCCACUAGAUUCUCUCCUGGAAAGAACAAUGGAAACGGCCCAUCAAAAUCAGGUCCUAGUUAUGCAGUUAAGAAAAGGGUUUCAACAUAUUCAUGGAGUGACGAAACAAUUGAAUUACUCAUCCAGGGUGUUUCAAAGUACCCAGUGCUAUUUGACAUUACUCGUGCUGAUUACAAAGAUGUUACUGUGCAUGCCAAGGCAAAUGAUGCUGUUGCCAAAGGAUUGCCUAAUAAUUAUAGUGAGUAGCUCUGCUUGUGGAGAGCAAUGCUACAACGUUGGCAUUUGUAAACGCUGCUGGGAAUAAAAGCCUUUCCAUGUACAUUCAUUUCCCCAAGAGUUAAGGUGAACCUCACCAAAUUGAUAAAUUUGCCUGUGAUUUUUUAAUGUCCUUCAGGUUGAACUACGUCUGGUUACGAGUUUUUCUUUUCUUAAUUUCGUUAUAUUGCAGCAUCUAUUGAAACAAGUUAACUGUUCUCCUGUCAAUCCAAAUCUUCUUAUUCUCGAGAACCAAAUCAGCCACAUUAGCUAUCCCCUACUUGAAUUUUGCAAGAAAAGUGGUCCCUGGUAGCACGCCUCUAUCUAUAGGAUAUACGUCGCCCAUCUUUUCAGCCGAGUGAGAUAUCUUAACCCGACGUCCAUAGGAUUGCCUAUGUCUAUACUAAUGUCGCGCUGACAUCCAAAUGGGUACGGCUUACAGCCGUCUUCAAAAUACUUAAAUUUAAGCAAAAAGAAAAAAAAAAGAAACGUUCCUCGAUGGGCCCGAAACCACCGUCUUUGGAUUGGUACUCCAGUGCUCUACCCACAUCACCACACCCUAUUACUUUUCAACUGUAUUUGGUUCAACGGCUCUAAAUUAAUAUUAGCAGUUAAAAUUCUGAAAAUUUAAAGUCCUUGUCGUCCUCAUCUAUCCUGUGUACAGAUAAUUUGGACAUCUCACAGACGUCAUAUUACGUCUGUCUGUUAAGCGUCUGAUUCCUAGUACACAUGGAUGUCCGUGAUCGUAUGAGAAACGUACAUCUAUAGUACAUCUAUGCGAAGAUAGCAUAAGGCCGUAGUAAAUAGAGUAUCCAUGUGAUAUCCAAUUUAAGUUGUAGCUAGAUAAGAUUUGAUUUAGACAUUAAGACAUCUAUAUGAUAGACGAUGGAAGUGAGUGUGCUACCAGGGGUAUAGUUGAAAAUUCUUCACGUUGCCACCUCACACAUCUCAUGUGACUUAGACCCUCGCCAAUUUUUAUUUCGUUUUAUUGAAUCAGAUGUGAAGCAAGAACAUUGUCAGUGGAUGCGAAUUAAUUGAGUUCAGAGAAUUUCCAUAUACGACGUGGCUUAGUUAACAGAAGGACGAGAGGAGAUUCCGUUCCAGAAAUAUCAAAUCAGUAUUUGCUACCCGCGGGAUUUAUCCAUAUAACCGACAUGCAAUCCCAGAGCACAUGUUUGCACCUUCUUCUGUUACUACCUUGCCUGCUGGUAUAGGAAAUUUAAUUAAAAAUUUAAUUUGAUAAUCGUUAAUCUCCUUAGUUGCACCAGGGAAUGAAACAGAAAGAACAAAUGCACCGUCUCAGCGCUUGUGCCAAAAAUCGAUUCUGAACAAUAUGUUUUAGCCGAUAUAGUAAAUCAUCGUCUCAAUCAGCAAGCUGUAGCGGACAUCAAUAAGUCAAGAACAUGAUCUGCUUUUUCGUCCAUACUACUUACUCAAAUGCCUUCAAACGAACUGCCUCGUCAAAGCUUCACACCGGAAGAAGUUUUACCUCAUCAACAUCAAGAAGGGUACCAAGGAACAAGAACAGAGGUUCUUCUCGUUGAUUGACAAAUUCGACCGAAAUUGCUAUGUUUAAAGAGGCGCACAGCGCAAAAAUGUUUAAAGAAAACAAUCGGAUUGUGAAGGAAUUGAAGACUAAUUGAGAGGUGUACUAAAAUAAACUUAAAUUACCAACACCCAGUAAAACAGGGUGUUGGUAAUCUGCAAGACAAGUCUGCAUGACGGUAAUCUGCAUGAAUUUACUGCAUGAACAGGGCUGUCAUGCGCACCUACGGGCAAGAUAAACUGCAUGACUACUUCCGCAUGACACCAAAUAAAAAUUUUGCAAAUUAUAACGCGCGCACACUGCCAUGGCAACGCCCAAACGGAGAAAAAAAAGAACGAAAAUCUUAUUCAUGCAAGAAAUUCAACCAAAGAAAAAUUGAAGAAUAGUACCGGGUGCCCCAUACAUUUUAACAGAGAGGAAUUGGCUGAUUUAAAAGAACAAGCUGUACAGCUAUCUCGCGAUGGAGAACAAGUUAGAAAUUUCAAAAAAACAAACAAAAGCGUAAAAUUGCACUCAUUCAGGAUAAAAACUACAAUCUCCAUGAAAUCGAUGAUGACACCAAGUUCAUUAAGGAGAUUAUAACAUACCCUGAUGUUGCAAUUUACAUUUUCCAUCCUUAGCUUUGGGAACUGUUCAAGGGAUUGCUGAACCGAAAAGAUUUACCUUUCCUUAGUUUGUCGGUGGAUACCACUUUUGAAAUGACUGAUGGGUAUGAAAUGCGUACUGUCUAAAAUUUAUGUGUCUAAAUGGGGGGGGGGGUAAUCUGCAUGAAUGCUUUUCGAUUUUUCAAUUUUUGAGUUAGCGUAUGUAUGGCGUAAUGAAUGAAUGUGUAAAUCUAUUCCAUAAUUAUUUUUAAUUUUAAUUUUUUUUUUAUUAGCAGGCUUUGACUGCAAUUACUACAGUGACGGCAUUUCUACGUUCUCAAUCAGAAUCAAUGUCCCACCGUCCAAGUCGGCUUUAUUGGAUUCAGCUAAGGGCAGGGUGCGAAAAAGAAAAGAAAUCCAAAGGAAAUUAUGAAAAUGUUGAUCCUGUCAAGAACUACUCCCUGACGCUAAGAGCUGUUUCAAUUCACGAAGAAAAAGUUUUAGAAAAAUGCACAAUUGAGCUUAGCACAGCACAGCACAUCAAAGCACAGCACAGCACUAGAUGUUUGGGAAGUAUUUUUGGUUUUUCUUCAACAUGAAUGCAUCCUAUUACAUAUGAUGAGUUUUCUUUUAUAAUUAUUG